ACUACAUAAGGGUAUAAAUACUUAGAGAAAUAGUUCAGUGUGGGCCACCAAAUUGGUGGUCCACUACAAUAAUCUUAAAAAUUUCAGCCGGGCACAGUGUCUCAUGCCUGUAAUCCUAGCACUUUGGGAGGCUGAGGUGGGUGGAUAACUUGAGCUCAGGUGUCUGAGACUAGCCUGGGCAACAUGGUGAGACCCAAUUUCUACUAAAAAUACAAAAAAAAAAAAAAUGGCUGGGUGUGGUGGUGUACACCUGUGGUCCCAGUCACUUGGGAGGGAGGAUCACUUGAGCUGGCAGGUGGGGUGGGGGAGUGGGGGGAGUGGAGGUUGCAGUGAGCCAAGAUCACACCACUGCACUGCAGCCCGGGUGACUUUUAUAUAUAGAUGUGUUAUAUGAAAUUUGCCUGAAAUCACUUACUUUACAAAUGACAUAAAGUUCUAGCUCUUGGGAGCUUGGUAAAAAUAAAAUUUCUCAAAGAAAAAUUCAAUGGUCACUACAUCUCCAGUACCUAACAGUGCUUGGUUCAUAGAAGGCUCUCAAUAAACAUUUGUUGAAUGAAUACAACUGAAGGAUCUGGCUAAUGUUGCACAUAUAAGCAGCACCACUGGAAAUAUAGAACAGGUUCUGAAGGCAAAGUCUGAGCAAUUACUUGUAAAGUCACACCUGUGGCAACAGCCUUUGCUGCUGAUAUGUUGGGGUCAUUUGCACAUUAAGCUGGUCACCAUCCUACUUCUCAGAAGUCAUCAUCUGUGAGUACAUUUUUCCUGAGAGUCUAAAAACACGCGUUAAACUAACAAAUAAAUUGCAGCAUUUAUGUUCUGUGAAAACAGAAAAGGAGUUAUUUAAGGAGAGUGGUUAGUGUAGAAGGAAGCCAGGAAGUUUCAUUGUUCUUCUUAGUCAGGGAAGACUUCCUGGAAGAAGUAGUUUCAGGAACCCUGAGAAUGAUAAGAGAAGAUAGGGGUUGAUUGGGGGUGUUCUCAGCAAGUGGUAUGAGCUUAAAUAAAACGUCAGAGGCACAAGAGCAAGAUGAAUAACAGGGGAGGGUGAAUAACUUUCCAAAGAAUAAAGGGCCAAUUUUGGAAGGUGUUUGACAGACUAGUCCAGGCACUUUCUGCAAAAGUAAAGGCCUUGAGUUCCUCUGCAAAGGUUGAAUAUUGAUGAGCCUGAGCUCUCAAAAGAUGAUCGUUUUGGCCCCAUCACUCCACUGCUAGGGCUCCCUCCCACUCUGGCUUCCCAGUUACUUCUGGAGAGAUUCCACGUGAGGCACAGAGUGAGCACGGCUGUAUUUCAUAGGUUCACCGGCACUGGGGUGCAGCAAUACACAGUCUCAAUGCCAUCACACUUAAAAGUGGCUUCCUUAGAAAGAAACGAGCAAAUGAGGAGUCCACUUGAGUGAGUCCCUCUACCUAGAUGCUCCCUUCCAAGCUGAGUAAAAGCUGCCCCUAAGAAGCCUGAGCUCCUUGAGGAACAUAAUCCGCAGGACACGCUCCCUGUUAGGGAACACAUUGCCUGGGGUCUCUGGGGUCUGUCAUACGGUCUCUGGGACCAUCCCUCUGUGACCAGG
rnacentral:lncRNA from 1 species